rnacentral:rRNA from 1 species
GGCUCAGAUUGAACGCUGGCGGCAUGCCUUACACAUGCAAGUCGAACGGCAGCACGGGGCAACCUGGUGGCGAGUGGCGAACGGGUGAGUAAUGCAUCGGAACGUGCCAUUGAGUGGGGAUAACGUAGCGAAAGUUGCGCUAAUACCGCAUAUUCUGUGAGCAGGAAAGCAGGGGACCGCAAGGCCUUGCGCUCUUUGAGCGGCCGAUGUCAGAUUAGCUAGUUGGUGAGGUAACGGCUUACCAAGGCGACGAUCUGUAGCGGGUCUGAGAGGAUGAUCCGCCACACUGGAACUGAGACACGGUCCAGACUCCUACGGGAGGCAGCAGUGGGGAAUUUUGGACAGUGGGCGCAAGCCUGAUCCAGCCAUGCCGCGUGAGUGAAGAAGGCCUUCGGGUUGUAAAGCUCUUUCGGCCGGGAAGAAAUCGCAUGGGUUAAUACCCUGUGUGGAUGACGGUACCGGAAUAAGAAGCACCGGCUAACUACGUG